GGGGAUGUAUCUCUCUUGGGUAGAGUGCUUGCCUUUCAUGCACAAGGCCCUGGGUUCAAUCCCCAGCACCACCA
rnacentral:tRNA from 1 species